rnacentral:ncRNA from 4 species
GCCGCUAUGGUGAAAUUGG